rnacentral:tRNA from 1 species
CGCAGGAUAGAGAAGAGGAAUCUCGCAAGGCUCAUAUCCUUGAGAACGGCGGUUCAAAUCCGCCUCCUGCAA